GAAAUAUUGAGUUACUAGCUUGCAAUGCAAAUGUGUUGGUUACUCUUGGGGGGGUCAAAGGGUGGAGAGAAUUUGGUGCACGUAUAGUCCUGGAAAUUGCUGGUCACAAUGAAUGGAAAAUUGCUGUCAAAUUUUCUGGGGCUACCAAGUAUUCAUAUAAAGUUCAUAAUGUUUUGCAGCCUGGCUCUACCAAUCGCUUUACGCAUGCCAUGAUGUGGAAAGGGGGGAAGGAUUGGGUCCUGGAGUUCCCUGACAGAAGCCAGUGGAUGUUGUUCAAGGAGUUGCAUGAAGAGUGUUAUAACAGGAAUAUACGUGCUGCCUCAG
rnacentral:misc_RNA from 1 species